AUCCAGUUGUACCUUUAAUAUAGUUGGCAUAGGGGAAAACUAUUAAAAUUUGCACAUAACGAUAAAUCAUAUGUGGCAAUUUAAUUUAUUGCAAAACAAUUAUUUAUAAUUGAUAUGCUAUUUAUAUUAUUUGUACUAUUAUGAAUUAGUUUGGGACAUUACAAUUUGUACAAAAGAAAAAACUGUUAAAAUUUGUACGAGGAUCUGUACUGUUUUAGUAUGAUACUGGCAAACACAAAAUUUUGUAGAUGGAGUAAAACAUUGGAAACGAAUAUGGUUCAGCUUGCGGCUCACCGAUGGAUGCGACUUGCUCCCUUCCAAUGGCAAAGAGACGUGCUUCUUCCACUUUUGAGCCAUCGCGACCACGG